rnacentral:lncRNA from 1 species
GACGUGUCGACGCAGGCGUUGUGUAUGCGGAAGUGAUGGACGCGGCUUGUGUUUCUGCAGGAGUCUGACGCGUCGGAUGAAGCUGCAUGACAGAAGGUCAGGAUGCUGGAGUCCUAUGUUUCUCCUCUCUUGAUGAGUUAUGUGAACCGCUACAUAAAGAACCUGAAGCCGUCGGACCUGCAGCUGUCACUAUGGGGCGGCGACGUGGUUCUGAGCAAACUGGACCUGAGACUGGACGUGCUGGAGCAGGAGCUCAAGCUGCCCUUCACCUUUCUGAGCGGACACAUCCACGAGCUGCGCAUCCACGUGCCCUGGACCAAACUGAGCUCGGAGCCCGUGGUCAUCACCAUCAACACCAUGGAGUGCAUCCUCAAGCUCCGAGACGGAGCCACGGUCAGUGUCUGAAUGAGAUCUAGAGUCUGG